CAUAAAAUCUUACUUAGAAGUCAGAGGAGACUAGAGUUUAAAUCAAGAAAUGUAUAAGAUGUAAGACGAGUAGAAAAAAAUAUAUAUACUUUGGAGGAAGGAUAAGGAUAAUCCGAAAAUAAAAGAAAGCAAUGUUGGUCCUGGAAAAGUAAAAGAGUGUAGAAAGCAUCAGUGUAUCCGUAAUGGCAUCCAGAGGCUUUUAUACUAGUAAACACAAAAUCCAUAUAUAUAUACGGUCUAUUCCAUUAUUCUACAAUCAUAUAUAUAUGGUGCUUGGUUACUUAAAUUAUACUCCAGAAAACUGGAUCCUCAUCGAUGAAAUUAAAGCUGAAUUCAACAUGGUCGCAGUUAACAGUGGACGUAGUAUGCCACAUGGAAGCCAAACAGAUGAUUUCCCCGGAUACUUUAAACUCACUCCGAUACACAACCGUCAGCAGACUCAACAUCCAGCCGGCUACACACACUAAUAUAAAUAAGACGCGACCAAUAAACCACCACCUCAACUGACUUUUGAAAUAUCUAAAUAUUAUUUUUAUUAAAUAAUAUAUUUUAUUUAUUUAUCAAUUUUUUAUAAAUCUAUGGAUAUUUUUUUAUUUAUAUACAACAAGGGAAAAUUCUAAUACAAAAUAUCUGGAAAACGGUUGACUCUGCAGGACUCUGGAAAACGUUAUCGCGUGCCAAAAAGUAAAAGGGCGUAUACCAAUGUAUGCGCCCUUUUACCUUUGCAAAGGUAAAAGGGCGCAUAAAUUUUUUUUUCAUCGCCAAUUAAUUAGUAAACAUUUUCUACGCUUGAAAAUCACAUAUUGUUUUCCCAAAGGUAAAAGGGUGUAUGUCUUUAAUUAUGCGCCCUUUUAGCUUUAGGAAUUUGAAAAUUUUGUGACCAAAAGGUAAAAGGGCGUAUAAAUUUUUUUUCUAAAAAAUUUAUUAAAAAGCUUAG